rnacentral:lncRNA from 1 species
AACACCUUCAUUCUCCAUUUUUAAACACAACAUUUCAUAAAACUCCACCAUAUCACAAGAACACAUGAACCUAUAACAAAUGCAUUUCCGUCUCCGGCUAAUGAAACAACCUCCACCGUUACCACUCCGCCGUACCACCGAUCUUCAGCCGCAAAUCCAAACCACAUCUACCACACCAUAACAAACCCACCGGCGAAACUCUCACAAACCUCACGCCGGCACUCCAAAACACAAAGCCGUCACACCUCACAAAACCCCAACACACGCCUCACCGUGUCCACCACCGUAAAACUACCCAACUACCCUCAACCGCCGCGAUCUAAAGCCGGCGAGCCUUAAAUCUCCUUUCACCGUUGUACUUCUUGUUCCGCCGACAACUCGGAACCACCUCCGAUUCCGAUCCACUGCUCAUCCCUCUCUAUUAACGGUUAUUACUACAACAACAUUCACGAACACACUGUCCACAAGACUCGGUCCGAUUUCUACAGCCACGAAAUCAUGCAUUGUCAUGUCGGCGAUGUUGAUGGCGAGGUUUCGAUCGUGCGCACAGCUUAUUGUUCUGCUGUUAUUGUGAUUUUGAUGCAAGGUUCUUUUUGAAACGGUUUCGGCUCAUUGGAUUUGGUCUUUUGGAACGUCUUGGAGACUUUGAUUCGAAGAACCACCGCAUACUAAUUCAAACUCGCACAACAACUUUGACGGAGCAGCCAUAAAACCUUGAUAGAGACUACCUAGUAGUAGGUUCAACACGACGACACGACAGUAACUAUUCGAAAUAAACUAUUUCGUUGUUGUAGUCUAACCAUGGGCUCGAGUAUGUUAUGAUCUGUGUAUUAAACCGCAAAUUGCAAAAGCAUGCUGAAUGUGUUUGUUUGUUUAGUUAAUUUUGGUUACAAGUAAUUCAAAAUUGUUGUUAAUCGUUUAAGAAAUUCAGGUUCUGUUAAUAAUUUGCGAUUUCGUGCGUGUAUAGUUCGUUUAUGAAAUUCUGUUUGGUUAAGCUAUGUUGGUACCGGGAUUUGGUUUGUGUUGAUGAUGCACCGUUGAAACGCACGGUGGUGGAUGUCCUCCUAACGUUCCUGUAACUUCUUCUUUGGUUAUUUAUUGUUUCCAUAUACAAUACAUCUCUUACUUUCGAUGUCGCCCUUUUGAUUAAUGGUUUUGCUUUUGUUUAUCUUUGAAUUGCGGCAAUAUUAUUCAUCAGUUGUUUGUUGUAAUGUGUAGUUAGUUCAAAGAUGGAAAUAAUGUGCAUAUAGAUUAGAAAGAGGCAAUUGAAAUUUAAGUAGCUUGCUGUAUUGGAAAUGAUUAAUCAAUUUAGAACCUUCCUCAUAGUGUAAGGACACACCGUAAACAUACCCCUGUCGGUACCUUGGUUUGUUUGGCCAUUAUUGAAGAAUGCUAGACCUUACAUUUCUACUUUAGUGGAAUGUUUAAUUUUGGUAGACUUGAGAGAUAUUUAUAUUUCUCUACCAGUGCCUUUAAUGUGCUAUCUAUUUGUCUUAUUUUUCAGUAAUCAAAUCUACCUAUGUUAAUGGUUGGAAAAAAAUGCAUUUGUGGGUUUAUUAUUUGUAUGCUUUUCUAUACUGUACAUGCCUUACAUACUAAUAUGCACACCUUGUCCAAAUUAUUUAUUUAUUUAUUUUCUUUUCUUUCUUUGUAAACAAUUCAUAAAUAUUAUAAUUGGAUUUUCAUUACAUUUUAAAUUGGAGUUCAACCAGUGGAUUCGACCUACAUGUCAUUAUGCCGCUAAGGUUUCUAUAAAUUAAUUGUACAUUUUCACCGCGUUACGAUCUCGCGUAUGACACAAAUCAUAUUGUCAUUUCGCUCUAACCGGUUUUGAGCAUAUUGUAGCCAAUUCAAUUUGUUUGUUUUUAAGUUGAC